GUUGGAGUCAGUCAGAGCAUUUCCAUAGAGAGACACUUUGCAUCAGCAGCACCAUGCUCCAGUGCUCUGGGAGACCUUAUAGUCCUGAGAGUUGAACACUGGAUGACUGACAGCUGUCCUUCAUGACAACAGAAGCCACAGAAAUCCUCCUCAUCAAAAACAUGACUUUGAUCUGCGUCCUCAUCUGGACUCUCCUCUGCUGCUGCUUCACAGAGUCCAGAGGCCAGAUCACAGUGACUCAGUCUGGAGCAGUGAGCUCUGCUCCGGGACGCUCCGUCUCCAUCACAUGUAGGACCAGUCAGGGGGUUUAUAAUGGGGACGAUUUAGCCUGGUACCAACAGAGAGAUGGAGGAACUCCUAAACUGCUCAUUUACUCUACUAGCACUCGAGCAUCAGGGAUUUCAAACCGUUUUACAGGCAGUGGAUCAAACUCUGACUUCACUCUGACCAUCAGUGGAGUCCAGACUGAUGAUGCAGCAGUUUACUACUGUCAGAGUCUCCAUUACCCGAACAGUCAGUGGGUGUGGAGAUCCAUGACUCAGAACCACGACUCAGGAUACAGGACUCAGGGUCCACAACUCAGGUCCACGACUCAGGAUCCAGGACUUAGGAUCCAGGAAUCAGGGUCCACGACUCAGGAUCCACGACUCAGGACCACGACUCAGGGUCCACUACUCAGGAUCCAGGAAUCAGGGUCCACGACUCAGGAUCCACGACUCAGGAUCCACAACUCAGGACCACGACUCAGGACCACGACUCAGGACCACAGCGACAGGCACAGCCAUGAUUAG